CAUGGUGACUAUAGCACGGAGGUCCACCUCUUCCCAUUCCGAACAGAGAAGUUAAGCCCCGUCGCGCCGAUGAUACUGCAUUAGCUUGUGGGAAAGUAGGUCGUCGCCAAAC
rnacentral:rRNA from 1 species